AUGAGAGGCAUUGAUCCUAAGUUAUCACUAUAAAACGAGUUAAUUGGCUGAUGAGAGGCAUUGACUCUAGGUUAUCACUAUAAAACGAGUUAAUUGGCUGAUGAGAGGCAUUGAUUCUAGAUUAUAACUAUAAAACGAGUUUAUUGGGUGAUGAGAAUCAUUGCUUCCAGGUUAUCACUAUAAAACGUGUUUAUUGGCUGAUGAUAGGAAUUGAUUCUAGGUUAUCACUACAAAACGAGUUUUUGGCUGAUGAGAGGCAUUGAUCCUAUGUUAUCACUAUAAAACGAGUUUAUUGCCUGAUAAGAUGAAUUGAUUCUAGGUUAUCACUAUAAAACGAGUUUAUUGGCUGAUGAGAGGCAUUGAUUCUAGGUUAUCACUAUAAAACGAGUUUAUUGGCUGAUGAGAGGCAUUGACUCUAGGUUAUCACUAUAAAACGAGUUUAUUGGCUGAUGAGAGGCAUUGAUUCUAGAUUAUCACUAUAAAACGAGUUUAUUGGCUGAUAAGAGGCAUUGAUUCUAGGUUAUCACUAUAAAACGAGCUUAUUGGCUGAUGAGAGGUAUUGCUUAUAGUUUAUCACUAUAACACGAUUUUAUUGGCUGAUGAGAGGCAUUGAUUCUAGGGUAUCACUAUAAAACGAGUUUAUUGGCUGAUGAUAGGAAUUGAUUCUAGGUUAUCACUAUAAAACGAGUUUAUUGGCUGAUAAGAGGAAUUGAUUCUAGGUUAUAACUAUAAAACGGGUUUAUUGACUGAUGAGAGGCAUUGAUCCUAUGUUAUCACUAUAAAACGAGUUU
rnacentral:lncRNA from 1 species